rnacentral:rRNA from 1 species
GAAUGCUGACAUAAGUAACGAUAAAGCGGGUGAAAAGCCCGCUCGCCGGAAGACCAAGGGUUCCUGUCCAACGUUAAUCGGGGCAGGGUGAGUCGACCCCUAAGGCGAGGCCGAAAGGCGUAGUCGAUGGGAAACGGGUUAAUAUUCCCGUACUUGGUGUUACUGCGAAGGGGGGACGGAGAAGGCUAUGUUGGCCGGGCGACGGUUGUCCCGGUUUAAGCGUGUAGGUGUGUGUUCCAGGUAAAUCCGGUUCACUUUAACACUGAGGCGUGAUGACGAGGCACUACGGUGCUGAAGCAACAAAUGCCCUGCUUCCAGGAAAAGCCUCUAAGCAUCAGGUAACAUCAAAUCGUACCCCAAACCGACACAGGUGGUCAGGUAGAGAAUACCAAGGCGCUUGAGAGAACUCGGGUGAAGGAACUAGGCAAAAUGGUGCCGUAACUUCGGGAGAAGGCACGCUGACACGUAGGUGAAGUGAUUUACUCAUGGAGCUGAAGUCAGUCGAAGAUACCAGCUGGCUGCAACUGUUUAUUAAAAACACAGCACUGUGCAAACACGAAAGUGGACGUAUACGGUGUGACGCCUGCCCGGUGCCGGA